rnacentral:rRNA from 1 species
UACGGGGGGAGCAAGCGUUGUUCGGAUUUACUGGGCGUAAAGGGCGCGUAGGCGGCCACCGCAAGUCAGUUGUGAAAGCUCUGGGCUUAACCCAGAAAGGUCAACUGAUACUGCGGGGCUAGAGUGCAGAAGGGGCAACUGGAAUUCUCGGUGUAGCGGUGAAAUGCGUAGAUAUCGAGAGGAACACCUGCGGCGAAGGCGGGUUGCUGGGCUGACACUGACGCUGAAGUGCGAAAGCUAGGGGAGCGAAUGGG